GUUGCAACACAUGUUUCCGUACGUUCACCGAAGUUAAGCAACGUCGAACCUGGUCAGUACCUAGAUAGGGAACCGCUUAGGAAUACUCGGUGCUGUAAG